AAACCGCCGAUCCCUACUUGCCUUCCCCGAUCUCCCCUCUUCCUCUCUCUGUUCUCUCUCGCGGACAAGCGGCGCCAAAGGGAUUAGGGCUUUCAGCUCCGGCGAUCCUCCUCUACCGACAUUGGCGGCCGUUGAGCUCAGAUCCGGGCGGCGCUAUUCCUCUCUGGAUCAUGGACACGGCGUUGCGUCUUCUCUAGUCGACAGCCGGCCUUUCUUCCCCGAUCCGACGAACCGUGCCCUAGGUUCGUCGUCGGUGCAGAUCGGAGCUUGGAGCACAGAGUCGGAUCCGAUCAGUGGUCGCGACGACAAGCCGUGCCUUAGCAGCGAUCCUUAAGGUCACGGGAUUGAUUUCCAGGUGAGGUUUGGUGAUCAGUGAAGUGAGGGUCUGUUGCUGUGAGGCUGGAAUUGUGAUCUUCUUAUUUUGAUUCGAUUGAUCCAGUAAGGUUAGCAUCUGUGAUAGUGAAGUGAAUUCAGCAUAAGUGUUCUGUAGGUUGGGAGGUUCCUUGUUCUUGAUUCAGCAGAGGUGUUCUUGUUCUUGUGAGGUGCUGUUCUGUUCUGUGGAUUUGUGAUCGUGAGGUGUUUCCUUGCCGACAGCACUCCAACCAGCAAUAGUAUGGGCUGUGAAUCGAGGACUCUGAUUCGAGACGGCGUCUCGACGUCGACUUGGGAUUGCGUGAUUUGUACCUUCUAUUUGAGGCGGGUACCCUCUGACUUAUCUUUUGAUAAUGUCUUAUGAUAUGUGUAGCUUAUAUAUAUUUACUAGUGGUAGAUAGUAGAUUAUUUCUUCCCUGGUCUUAGCUAG